ACGUACAUGAUGAUACAUGUCCAGGAACAGGAUGGGCCAGCCCUGAUAUAAAGAGGUGGUGCAGUGGGUAGCACUGUCGCCUCACAGCUAGUUUGAAUCUGGCCUAGGUCUCCUUCGGUUUCCUCCCACAGGUAGGCUAACUGGAGAGGUGUGAAUGAAUGGCGUGUGCCCUGCAAUUGAUUGGUGGCCUGUCCAGUGUGUAUUCCUGCCUCUCGCUCAAUGCACUCUGGGAUAGGCCCCAGCACCCCUUGUGAUCCUGCCCAGAAUAAGUGCCUAUGAUUAGGAGCUGAUUGCACCUGUAGUGCCCCUCCCCCUUCAAAAGGGCUCAGUGGAGAGUGGAGAGUCAGACUCCUAGCUGGCAGCAUUCCAUCUUGUUUGAUCCCUCUUCCCCUUUAGUUUUUUUGUCUAAGUUUCCUAUUUUUCCUUUUUCUUUAGGGGAGGGAGGUCUGGUAGUCUAGUUAUCGUGGCUUUAUUGUAGUAGUUUAGUUUUUUCUCUGCUUUGUUAGUUUAGGGUGAAGUCCUGGCCCAGGCUUCUCCUUCCUUUUGUUCUUUUUGGCCAGACCUCCCUGCUCUUAUUGCUUCAUUAUUCGUGAGUAUUUUCAUGUUUUGUUAAAUAAAUGCAUUUUCUUGUUUAUUCUAA